rnacentral:lncRNA from 1 species
AAACAUAAGAUGUUAUGGUUAUCCAGAAGUGCAGUUAUUGAAGUAGUUAUCAAGUAACCUUAUCACGAUCCACGAUUCAAGGAGUUUAGAUGAAGACGGUUGAAUGACAAAGAGUAGUGGCAACAGUUAGAGACGAUAGUUCCACGACACGUUAGCCACCAUAAAGAAAGUGGAUAGUUAUAAAGUAAUCAAGCAGUUUCUAAGCGGUUGAUCACGAAAAAAUCAUCAAGAGAAUAUAAAAGGAAGAAAAGACAUAGAGCGAAGAACCCGAAUCAAACACUCUCAAACAGAGAAUAUGUAAUUUCAAUUUCUUAGUUUAGACUUAAACAUUUCUUUUCAGUAUUCGUGUGCUUGCACCCCUUAGAGGCAUUAUGUUUAGUUCCAAUUGUAAAGUCAUCGUUAAUAAAACACCUCUUUUUGGGACUUUGUCUCAAACUGUUUGUUCCUUACACAAUCGUCUGAUCCCUUUUUAAUUGUUAGCGACUACGUGCGCGAAACAAUUUGGCACGCCGGUGGGACCUUGGUGUUUGGUGUUGGAGAUACAAAAGGUGAAACAAUACGCCUCAGAAAUUUGAUAAGGAAGCAAGUCAGGGAGGAGUCCAGUCUGUGAUUGAGCGAUAUGAGGAGCAACAUAGCUCUCCACGAACAGAUGGACAGAAUCAGAGCAGUCAUAGUCGUUACGAACCAAUGACAGAGUUGAGUCCUUGAACUAUGCGUGCAUUACUUGGAGAACUUACACAGGAUGUCGAUGAACAGGUAAAUCUACGAAAUAUUCAUAAUAUGGAAAGACUUACCCAGAAUGGGAAUGCACACUAUGAUAAUAUGGUCAAACAACUGAAUACUUUGAAUGAAAUAAUGAAUAAGUUAGUAGGCCAAAUUUGUCAGCCAGUCGUGCCUCUUGCAAAUCACUUCCAAACUAGGACAAUUGUGGGACAUAAUUCCCCAGUCUUAAGUCCAAAUUAAGGGGUAGAAUCACCUUUUGGUCCCUCUACUUCAAACCAGGGGAUGGUGUGAUGCCAAAUCAGAAUAGUGGCAAUGGUACAUCUAACUUAGGGGGUAACCUAAAUGUAAGAGACAAUGUCCUAAAUAAUGGACAGAAUGCCCCACGUGUUAAUGAUGGAGUAAAUAUUCAGGCUAAUGGUAACAAUGACCCAAAUCAUGGCAACUUUGUUGCCAAUCAAAGACCAAAUAUCAGGCCUCAAGCAAAUCAACCAAUCAAUCAACCUGUAGGAAUUCCAUAUGACCCCAACGUCAUGUUGAGGAAUCAAAUUAUGGAAAUAAUACAGGAUCAGACGGCUUUUGGGGUACGUCCUGUCACUCGGCCAACUUACGCAAAGUCAUAUCUUGAUUGGGUAGACCAAGCAUAUCCAUGGCCUAGAGGGUAUAAAGUGCCAGAAUUCUCACUAUUUAUCGGUUUAGGAGAGGUGUCUACACUAGAACAUAUAGAGCGAUUCACACUGCAAAGUGGUGACGUAACUGAUUACCAUAAAAUGAGGUUGUUCCCUAGUUCAUUAACAGGAGUAGCUUUCUCCUGGUUCAUCAAUUUGCUAGCGAACUCUGUUCAAAUAUAGCAACAAUUGGAGCAAUUGUUCCAUGCUUAGUUUUAUAAGACCGAGUCCGAAGUUACUUUGACCGAUUUGACGAAUCUACGUCAAAUGCCAAACGAAUGGGCAGAAGGUUUCCUUCAAAGGUUCAAGACAGCAAGAAGUAAAUGUUUUGUACCUUUGCCUGAAAAUGAGUUUGUCAAAAUCUUUCAAGGUUGUCUAAACUUUGAUUUGAAAAAGAAGUUCCAAGACAAGGAAUUUCUCGAUCUUUUCCAAUUGAUAGCGAACAUGAUUAGGUAUGAACGAUUAAUAAGAAAAGAAGAGCAAAUGAAAAAUUCUAGCAAAGGGACUUAUUAUAGAGAUCCAAAUUUUGAUGUUCAUACCAUUAAUGACGAGUAUUACGAUCAAACCGAAAUGUGUUUGGCCAAACUAAUCAAAGGAGACACGUAUACUUGUCCUAUAAUGGCUAAGCCUAGAUCGUUGGGCAAGGAUGAGUCUAUAAAAGAUGAAAACAAAAAGGCUAGAAUGUUCUUGUUCGAUGUAACCAAAGCUGACCUUAUAUUUGAUAAACUAUAUAAGGAUAAGCAGAUAAAGUUGAGCGAUAAACAUAAAUUGCCAAACCCUGAACAAGUUAAGGGUAAAAAAUAUUGUAAGUGGCAUAAUGUAUGGUCACAUUUGAGGAAUAACUAUUUGGUUUUUUGCCAUGUGUUACAGGAUGCCAUUGAAUCAGGACGAAUUACGUUCGAGAAUAAGAGGAAGAUGGCAGUGGAUGAAAACCCUUUUCCACAACCACUUGGGCUGAACAUGGUGACGACUGGUUUCAAAAACAAGUUGUCAAAAUUCAAGUUGAUUAUAGAUAAUGGAGAAGAGGACCCUGGACCAUAUCCCAGUGUCUUUGAACGUAUCAAAGGGAAAGAGCCUGAAAGGGAUGAAGACAUCCUGUGUCCAAGAUGUAAAAGAGAAGUGAGUGGAAAUAUAAAGAAACCAGGGAUAUGGCAGCAUCACGGUCGCCCUAGUUUUUUCCCAAACGCUCAGCCUGGUAAAGGGCGAGGUACAUCGUUCUAUAGGGGACCGCCUUUUGAGAGGCAGUUCAGGCCAGUGAAUAAUGGGAGAACAUUCAGGCCGUAGCCUCGCCAACCAAAUGUAUGACAUUCGUUCCAAUAUAAUGUAGGAAAGGUGAUACUCUUCAACGAGAUGACUAGAACCCAACAAAUGCGUUUUCAACGGAACUAUGGACGAGUGAUGAGGUAACAACAGGGAAUGCCACGUCCUAAGGAGCCUGAGCUACUCGAGGUUGCCAAUCAAAAUAUUCUUGAAGACAGUAUGGAGACUGGUACAGGUGAAUCGAUGAAAGAAUUGCCAGAAAGUUUUUCUGGGAGGUCGAAGUUUGAGCGAGACAGAAGAGAUAGAGAUCCAGAUCAAUCCCUUACUAUUCAGUUCAGUACGUUACCUCCUGUCAUGGCUAAUAACUAUUUGCUAGCCAAUGAAUUCAAGAAUAAAGAGAAAGAAGAAGAAGAGAGGGAGGAUAACGAAGAAAAAAGCAUGCGUGCUGGAAUAUGAAGAAGGCCAAACUUCUAGAGGGGCAUACGAUGAUGAAGGAGAUGAUGGUAUGACAGAUAUCGAAGAAGAAAUUGAUUUGGAAGCAGAAAGAAGAAAAAGAGGAAUAUCGUGCAAUACUCUGUUGAACCAACUAUAUCGAGAGGGAGUUCGUGAAGUGGACUUGUUGGGGGAGCCGUCUGGGCAUUCUUUCGAUUAUUACGUGUUGUACGGGACGCCCAAAAGGAAAAAGAGAGUGCCUCGCUCUGAAAAGUAUGGAUCACCUUCAAGAAUAAUGCAUCCUCCCACAGGUUGGGUAACUGAAGAAGAAGCAUUAGAAAAUAGUAAAAAGGAAACGGAAGCUCAGUACGACAUGCUGCACGUUGACUUAUCACAAAAGAAUAAUUCGACAGAGGACAAGUAGGAAGUGGAAAUAGAUUCUACCAAAAAGGUUAUUUUUAAGCAGCCAGCCAUGAAGUUAACUAAACACUUGAUGCCAUUAUACGUUAAAACUCUAGUUAAAGGCAUACCUGUGGCAAAAGUGUUUGCCGACAAUGGAGCAACUAUAAACACCAUUCCAUCUAGGAUGAUGAGGAAAUUUGCAAAGACAGAAAACGAUAUGAUCCCAACAGAAGUCGUCCUUACGAGUUUCAAUGGAGGAGCAACUUCAGCUAAAGGGGUUAUGCCAUUGGACAUAACUAUAGGGAUAACUACUAGGACCACAGUCUUCUUUGUAAUAGAUGUCCUACUAGUUACAAUAUGUUAUUAGGAAAGGAUUGGAUACACGGAAGUAGGUAUAUCCUCAUCGCUCCAUCAAUGCCUGAUUUUUUGGAAUGACAAAGGCGAAGCAGAAGUGGCGCAAGUCGAUCAUAGACCUUUUGUAGCAGAAGCAAACUCAGUAGAAAGGUUCAUGUAUGAAGGAAAUUAUGGACCUGUCAGAGUAGUCCAAGAUGGAGAAGAAACUCAAAUUGUCGCGCAGAGUGAAGAGCCGUUUUCGGUGGAUGCACUCACUGAAAUGUUCAGUCAGAUGAGGCCAAACAUAGUGGCCCUAGAAGAGCCAGUAAUUGGCAAAAGAGUAAUCAAUGAGUUUUAAAUGAGUUGUAAGCAAUAAAGGCAAAUGGCCGAUAUUCAAGCUUUCAAAGCCAAAUUAAUGGCUUUCAAUAAAGAAUGCAAGGACAAAACGAAAGAAGAAGCAGCCUUGAAAGCAUUGAGAGACAAAUUGACAGUGUUCGAGUUGGAACAAAGUAUUGGCCGAGAAGUCAACAAGGAAGAUUGUUUAGAAGAAGAAGUGCCUACAAGGGAAUUGGACGAUGAAGUGAUGAGGAUCGCCAAGCCUGGAUAGGCUCAAGCACAAGACCCUCUGAUUAAAGUGAAUAUUGACAAUGAAGGAGAAGAUCGCCCAAUAUUCAUCAACCAAAUGCUCGAUCAAGAGGUUAGUGAUAAAUUAAUCGCUUUAUUAAAGAAAUAUAAAGAUUAUUUUGUUUGGGAAUAUGAACAUAUGCCUGGUUUAGAUAGAGAUUUAGUGGAACAUAGGUUGCCAACCAAGCUAAAUUUUAAGCCUCAUAAGCAACCUCCUAGACAUUUUGCUCCCAACGUACUUCUUGAGAUUAAGAAAGAAGUAGAGCGAUUAUUAAAAGCAGGCUUUAUUAGAACAGCCAGAUAUGUGAAUUGGUUGUCCAAUAUCGUGCCAGUGCUAAAAAAGAAUGGUAAAUUAAGGGUGUGCAUAGACUUUAGGAAUUUAAAUAUAGCCACACCUAAAGAUGAAUAUCCAAUGCCCACAGUAGACUCUUUAGUAGACUCAACUGCCGGACACGUAAUGUAUUCCUUCAUGGAUGGGUAUUCAGGAUACAAUCAAAUUUAUAUAAUUGAGGAAAAUAUACACAAAACUGCCUUUAGAUGCCUUGGGUCUCUAGGAUGUUUUGAAUGGGUAGUUAUGCCUUUCGGCCUGAAAAAUACAAGAGCAACUUAUUAAAGGGCAAUAAACCUGAUUUUUCAUGAUAUGAUAGACAAGUUUGUUGAGGUGUAUGUAGAUGAUAUAGUGGUCAAAUCCAUUAAAGAAGAAGACCAUUUUGAACAAUUGAGAUGUUCAUUUGAACGAAUGAAGCAAUAUAAACUAAAAUUGAAUCCCUUGAAAUGUGCAUUUGGUGUUAAUACAGGAAACUUCCUUGGUUUCUUAGUACACAAAAGGGGGAUUGAACUUGAUAAAAAUAAAACGAAGGUCAUUUUAGAGGCCAAACCACCUAACAACAAAAAAGAAUUGCAAAGGUUUCUAGGCCAAGUAAACUUUUUCAGACGCUUUAUUUCUAACUGUGCAGGGCGAACUAAAACUUUUUCGCCACUUUUAAAAUUGAAAAAUCAGGAUGAAUUCGUCUGGAAAGAAGAGCAUCAAAAGGCUUUCGAAAGCCUAAAGACAUAUUUAUCAAGUCCACCAGUGUUGAUGUCACCAAUCCAAGGACGGCCAAUGAAAGUAUAUGUAUCGGCUGAAAAAGAAUCAAUAGCUGGAAUGGUCGCGCAAGAAGAUCAAUUUGAUGAAAAAAGGGCGAUUUACUACUUGAGUAGACGGUUAACAAAAUGUAAAUGUAAUUAUUCUGCCAUUGAAAAAUUAUGUCUUGCAUUGUAUUUCACAUGUACAAAAUUAAAGGCUUAUUUACGGCCCGUAACCGUUUAUUUGAUUUCCAAAGUAAAUUUGGUUAAGUAUAUGUUCUCUCACCCUAUUUUACACCAAAUGGUAGGCCUUUGGAUGUUAGCAUUAUCAGAAUUCGAAAUACAAUACAUACCCCAAAAGGCAAUAAAAAAUAGGCGUUGACUAAUUUUCUGGCCGAUCAUCCAUGCCUUAACAUGCUUGAAGAAAUUGAAUUAGAAAUCAAUUAAUUCGAAGUAAAACCUUGGGAUUUGUAUUUCGAUGGGUCAAAAAUCUCUAAAGGUGCAGGAGUAAGAGUAGCAUCGAUAAAUCCUUUAGGGUUUGCUACAAGUUUGCAUUCACUUUGGAUAGGAUGUGCACCAACAAUCAAGCCGAAUAUGAAGCCUUAAUCGUGGGCCUAGAAUUAAUAAUAGAUAUGGAAGUAAAGAAUGUGAUCGCUAGAGGCGAUUCUCAAUUGGUCAUUCACCAAUUCAUUGGUGAUUUUAAGUGCCAAAGUGAUUCCAUUAUAAAUCUAUAUGAAAUCGCCCAAGAGUUGUUGGAAGAAUUCGACCAAAUAGAGCUUCAAUGCGUUAAUAGAAUAUAUAAUGACGUGGUAAAUGAGUUGGCCCAGAUGACCUCAGGGUACUCGAAGGCUUUAAAUUGGAAGUCUACUUAUGAGUAUUGAACAAUAUUGCCCGUGGUCCAAAGAAGGGCGAGAACGAUUGAAAUUCAUUGCAUACAAGAUGGAGAUGUAAUAGAUUGGAGGGCAGAGAUUAAAAGGUUCCUUAAAGAACCUAAUAUAGGAAAUAGUAAAAAAAUGAAGUCGCGUUUGCUAAACUAUACACUGAUAGAUGAAGAGUUGUUUAAGAAAUGCUCUGAUGGUAUAUUGUUAAAAUGUGUAAGUUUGUAAGAAGUUAGGACGAUCAUGGUUGAAGUGCAUGAAGGGAUAUGUGGAGCUCAUCAAGCUGGCCAAAGUAUAAGAUGGUUAAUUAUUAGGAAUGGAUAUUUUUUGCCAAAGAUGGGAGAAUCAUGCGUUCAGUAUGCAAAGAGUUGACUAGCAUGCCAAAAGCAUGGUCCAAUACAAAGGGCGCCAGCACGAGAGAUGGCACCUAUUAUCAAACCUUGGCCGUUUAAGGGUUGGGCGAUAGACCUGAUAGGGAAGAUUUAUCCCCUAUCGACCAAGCAACAUACCUUUGUUAUAGUUGCAACUGAUUAUUUCACUAAGUGGGUAGAAGCAAUACAUUUAAAGGAGAUCACACAAAAGAAUGUCAUAAAAUUUAUCCGUGAUCAUAUUAUUUAUAGAUUUGGAAUUCCACAAACUUUGAUGGUAAAUCACGGAACUUCUUUAAAUGGAGAUCAAGUGAAUGAAUUCUUGAGCGAGUUUGGAGUUAAAUUAGUAAACUCCACACCAUAUUACGCUCAAUCCAACGGACAAGCAGAAUCUUCUAAUAAGAUUCUAAAAAAUAUCAUAAGAAAAAUGAUAGAUGAAAAUACCAAAAAUUGACACGAAUGUCUUAACAAGGCCUUAUGGGCUUAUAGGCUGUUGCCUUGGUCAAGUACCAAAAUUACUCCUUUCCAACUUACUUAUGGACAGGAGGCCAUUUUGCCUAUGAAAAUCAACGUGCAAUCGAUCAAAGUGUGUUUGUAACAUAAGUUAAGUGGUGAUGAGUAUACCGAAUCACUAGUUCAAAACUUAUUAGAGUUGGACAAAUUAAAGUUGGACGUCCUAGAUAGAUUGCAAGUUCAAAAAUGAAAGAUGGCUAAGUUUUAUAAUAAAAAAGUUAUAGCCAAGUUGUUCAGCCUGAGCGAAUUGGUUUGGAAAACAAUACUCCCUUUAGAUAGCAAAGAUCCAAAGUAUGGAAAGUGGUCGCCCAAUUGGAAAUGACCAUAUAAAGUAAAUAGUGUGUUGCCUAAUGGAGCCUAUCAUUUGGAAGAUUUAGAUGGCACCAAACGCAUGAGAUUCAUUAAUGGUAAAUAUUUAAAAAAAUAUGUUCCUUCAUUAUGGAAAAGUGAACAAAUAAAAGGGUAAUCAAAUCGCGUUGAACGAUUGUAGAUAAAAAAGGGUCAGAGAGAAAUACGUUCAAAUAAAUUCCUUUAUUAUCAAACGUUCAUUACAAAGUUGCAAGAUACAAAAUACUAAAUGCUUUAUAAGCUACAAUUAAGAGCGAACUAAUCUCCCGGUCGAUCGUCAAGUAAGAGGGUGAACUAGCAUUAAUUGCCAUCCUGAUCGCAUUGCUGCAAAGGUAAGCAGAGAGGCCGAGAAACACUCUCAGCAAGCAGAAGGGAAGAGAAGCACCCUCAUCUCGACUACCUAAAUGCGUCACUGCAAUAAUGGGCAAGGACACAGAGAAGCACUCUCAGCGAGUAAGGUUGCUUGACAGGCAUCCUAAAAAAUUACCUUCCAUCAUUGAACUCCUUGUAAAGAACAUGGAGAUGAUGGGAAGAACUUUGUUGGCCAAAGAAUAUUUCCUAUAUCUCCCAUACCAAAGGUGACAUCAAAACAAGUGGCAAAAUAGGUGGAUCAAAUGAUCCAGUUCUAUGGAAGACGAAAAUUCUGGAUCAAUCGUCGAAAUGCCAGCAAAUUAGUUUUUGAGGAAAAGAAUGGAAAUAAAAAUGAAAAGUGCGAAAUAUACGUGCAUUUAUAGGAGCGUGAAGAGACAGAAUAUGAACAGCCACAUUCAUGCCUAGUAAUUGGAGUCAAAGGGCCCAAAGUUUUGGGAAAAGAGAUAGAAAUACCAAAAGAAAAUGUACAUAAAUCUUAUCAUAAAGCAGUUAAAUGCUUGGAGGGUUGACGAUUAAGGACAAACGUCAAUAAAUACACAAGAAGACAAAUUAGUUGUUCAUUAAUAACAAUGGCUGCUGUUACAUCCAAAAUUGGCAAUGGCUAUCAGUACGAGGUUACAAGAGGAAAGUUAAUACGAAGUUACAAAAAGAAAAGUUAAGGCAUUAGAUGUAUUAAUUACAAUUCGCCCCAGGCCGAACGAAUUCUUUCCCUAAGUCUCCCCCAAUCCUCGCCGUGCUGAGAAAAAGUGACAUUCAAUUUAGCUACAUAAUCAUCAUCAACCUCCAGCUUCUUGUACUGCUCGACCAAAGAUUUGGUUCGCUCAAUUCCUUGGGAAGCAUUACGCUUUUUAGCAGCUAUUCUCGCCUUGCAAUCAUCCAUCCUUACUUGAAGCUCCUUUAUCUGUGCAGCCAAACUGGUCAUCAAAGAGUCUUCAAUCAUAACUUUGGAAGAGAUUUCUUUCAAUUCGUCCUCAACUUUGUUGAUCUCCCGAAGCAAAAACUCUCUUUUAGAGGCAGCGCGAAGAUAUUGAGUACUCCUAGCCUUCAGUUCAACAUUUUUGGCCAGCAAAGAGAGGAUGUCAGAGUGGACAACUUUCAACGUCGCUUUAAAACCAGCAGAAAUGUUGAGCGACGGAAGUAUCAGUGCUUGCGCCAACUUCGCACUCAAAUGCUCAAGUUUAUCCUUAUAUUUGGCAGCACUAGCCUGAUCGAUGUCCAUAUCCAUAAAAUAUACAUACUCAAAUAUCGACUGCUUGAGGAACUUCAUGUCUUCUUCUGAAGAAGCAGUAGGACGACCGGUUGAAGCAGGGCGAGAUGUCUUGACUUGCCCCCAGGAAGUGAACAAGUCCUGGAUGGAACGUACAAUCUCAUCAGCAUCCUGCAAAGAAAAAUGCCAACAUUGAAGGUUUUCACUACAAUAAACAAAGUGAAAAUAAAAGUGAAGCAAAAUGUUACCUCAUCAGCAAUCUUGGGGGGUGACAAAUCACCAGUUGGCUCCACCACCUGUGGCCCCACCACCAGGGGAGACUUCCCCUUGUCUGGACGAGAAGACUCUACCACAAUGGGCAGACCCAUGGGAGCCUCUGCAUGAUUAAAGAAGCAACAAAUCAGAAACCAAUAGCACAAGCAAAGGUAAAACAUCAAAAAUGUAUUACCUUCUGGUUUGACGUUUGGGGGUCGGCGCCCUGGGAAGAAGGUGGGUUGUCCAUUGAUUGUGAUGAAUGUUCCGGGACUGAAGGUUUCUCUUUAAGCGUAGUCCUUUCAUCAGCUAGUUUGGACGAAGCAGCUCCAGCAGAGGAUGAUGGAGCAGGAGCUGCCAACACCUAAACCUUCAAAGGAGAGGCUGAACUUUUCUGAGAAAUCCAAGAAAACAUUAGCACAUAGAAAGGUAUGCUUGUGAGUAAACAAAAUUCAAUUCGAUUACCUUUCUCCUAACGAUGAGAGGAGUAUUAUCAUCAUCAUCAUCCUUCUAAAUGGGAGAUGCUGAAGCUGGCCGUUUGCUGCUUGGGGCGCUCUUAGCUGCAGUAGGUUUGGCAGGUACAGAAGUAGAGGGACGAAUAGAUUGUUUAGCAUGAGCGGAGGAGGAAAGAUUCCUAAUGGACACAGGGGUGACCAAAAUAGGAGAAGUGGAAGGAAUGUUCGACUGAUUCAGUGAAUGGAAAACACGAUUAGCAUCAAUUACAAAUAAUCUGCACUUUACUGAUGGCCAGAGUUGUUCAAAAAGGGGGUAAACGGCACGACUAAGAUUGAAGGGGGCUAAUGAAAAGUUACUCGUCAAAAGAAUACUGCGAGCAUCUAUAGCUUGUGCCUCUACCUUAUUAAUGGUGUGAAAGCGGUCUAUCAAAUUUUUUGAAUAACAAGGGGGAACAGGCUAAGUUUGGCCAAAACGAAGUUAGCGAACAAAAAAUUGGGAAGCAUAUAUUUCAACCCCAGCUUUGGCAUUGGUUUCGGUUAAAAUAUCAUGGAACAACUCCCUCCCACUCAAAAACUGAACCCAAACGAGCAGAAAGGCGCUCGCACUGUCCAGGGUGGAUGGAGGUUGCACAUAAUCUGGAGUUAAAUGAGCAAGAAAUGGAAAGAAAGAAGGAAUUGAAUUUAAAGUAUAAAAUAAUGAAAAAAUAUCCCUUCUGAACAUAUUUACAGGGCUCAAUGGCUAGCCCAUAGCAGCUAGCAGAACGAAGGGACAUAGAUAGAGCACCAAGUGAUGGAAAAUAGGCUCUCAACCACAGUUGAGCGAACCAAAGAGGCCCACUGUCAGUGGGAGAUGCACCAUUCUUCAAUUGAAAUUAAAAAGAACUCAUGUCUCUAUAGAGGGCAGCCAAAAAGAAGGAACACAAAUUCAAAGACCUACCACGCAUCAAUUCGUGCGCUAUGGGUAAAUAGCUCAUAGAAGGCUUCAAACUGGGUACACACAGGAUAUAUUUACAAAGCCAUAUCUGAAGAAAGGCCACACACUCAGCGUGGCAAGGUUCAGCGCUUGAGUGAUUAUGACAACUUUGCAAACUUGAAUAGGACUCGAAAAGUUUUUUGUUAAAUUUUGGGGCAACACCAAAAAUCAAAAUACCAGGGAAAAUGGUGUCGCCUAAAGGUGGAAGAUUUAUUAGGACCCCAACAUCCCUUAAAGUGAUUGACAAGGGACCAAGAGGGAAAAUAAAAGUAUUAUAUUCAAAAGACCAAAAACUUAAAGUAAUAGGAAAAAGUGCUGGGUCAAAAAUUGGGGGUUGAAGAGAGAUUUCUAAUAAAUCAAAAAUCCUAGCACGAUCAAAAAUCGCCUUAGUAGGACCAUGGCCCACAAGGCGAGCAUGCCAUCUACGGAAAAUAACAUCAAAUUUAGGCCAAGUGCUAAUACCUUUUUCGCGAAUAGGCCUCAGCGGCAAAGAGUUCAAGAAUGGAAGGCCUUGAGUACAAGGAAACAGCUGACCCACCGCCACUUGUUCGACGAUUUCGGCGUUGGUGAAUGAAGGACCCAGAUAGAACUCAUCAAGUCAUUGGUUGGUGCAAGAAAGUUCGGAUUUACAUAUAACUGAGUGAGGAUUUUCUAGAAAUCAUCGAAGCUAAAAGAGUCGUCAGAUUGGGUUUGUGGAGCAGUCAUUGAGAACGAAAUAUAGUUUUGUUAAGGUUUGCUCGAAAAAUGUAGCAGAGAAGCAAGAAGAUGAACAGUGGUAUGGCGAGAAAGAAGCUCGAAAUAAUGAUACGUGAAUUAGUGGUACAACAAAAUGACGUGUCUUUGGGGUUUAUAAGGGUUUGUAGCGUCGCAUUUUUUCAGGCUAUGAAAGGAAAUAAUGAUUGAAAUUCUUGGGAAUUUCAAAUGUUGUUGGGAAACACAAAGUAAAUAUGGCAAAGAUUAAUAAUUUGUAUUAAUUCUGCCAUAUUGGGGGUAAUUGUUGACACACUAAAAGUGCAACCCAAAUCGAAUAGCCCGGGGAAUGAAGUCCAAUUAGGGAAUCCCCAAAUCAAAUAGCCCAAAGAAUGAAGCUCAAUUGGGAAAUUCAGGAUAAAGGCCCAAAUAGGGUUACGAAUGAAUGCAGUGGAAGCCCACGAACACGGUAAAAUCAUCGCCCAAGCUUGCAAGACCCCUAAGAUCUGAGCGAAUGAAUUUUCUUACAGUCGCCCAUAGUUAUGACCCUAUUCUCGUCCAAACCUUCGAAUCGCCCAGGAUCUUAGCAAACAUAAGAUGUUAUGGUUAUCUAGAAGUGCAGUUAUUGAAACAGUUAUCGAGUAACCUUAUCACGAUCCACGAUUCAAGGAGUUUAGAUGAAGACGGUUGAACGACAAAGAGUAGUGACAGCAGUUAGAGACGACAGUUCCAUGACACGUUAGUCACCAUUAAGAAAGUGGGUAGUUAUAAAGUAAUCAAGCAGUUUCUAAGCGGUUGAUCACGAAGAAAUCAUCAAGGGAAUAUAAAAGGAAGAAAAGACAUAGAGCGAAGAACCCGAAUCAAACACUCUCAAAGAGAGAAUAUGUAAUUUCAAUUUCUUAGUUUAGAUUUAAACA